rnacentral:rRNA from 1 species
AGAGUUUGAUCCUGGCUCAGGACGAACGCUGGCGGCAUGCCUAACACAUGCAAGUCGAACGGAGAUUACUUCGGUAAUCUUAGUGGCGAACGGGUGAGUAACGCGUAGGCAACCUGCCCUUCAGAUGGGGACAACAUCCCGAAAGGGGUGCUAAUACCGAAUGUGAUCACAACCUCGCAUGAGGAUGUGAUGAAAGAUGGCCUCUAUUUAUAAGCUAUCGCUGAAGGAUGGGCCUGCGUCUGAUUAGCUAGUUGGUAAGGUAACGGCUUACCAAGGCGAUGAUCAGUAGCCGGUCUGAGAGGAUGAACGGCCACAUUGGGACUGAGACACGGCCCAGACUCCUACGGGAGGCAGCAGUGGGGAAUCUUCCGCAAUGGGCGAAAGCCUGACGGAGCAAUGCCGCGUGAGUGAUGAAGGGAUUCGUCCCGUAAAGCUCUGUUGUCUAUGACGAAUGUGCAUGUUGUGAACAAUGACGUGUAAUGACGGUAGUAGACGAGGAAGCCACGGCUAACUACGUGCCAGCAGCCGCGGUAAUACGUAGGUGGCGAGCGUUAUCCGGAAUGAUUGGGCGUAAAGGGUGCGUAGGUGGCAGAUCAAGUCUGGAGUAAAAGGUAUGGGCUCAACCCGUACUUGCUCUGGAAACUGAUCAGCUAGAGAACAGAAGAGGACGGCGGAACUCCAUGUGUAGCGGUAAAAUGCGUAGAUAUAUGGAAGAACACCGGUGGCGAAGGCGGCCGUCUGGUCUGGAUUCUGACACUGAAGCACGAAAGCGUGGGGAGCAAAUAGGAUUAGAUACCCUAGUAGUCCACGCCGUAAACGAUGAGAACUAGGUGUUGGGGGAAUAACUCAGUGCCGCAGUUAACGCAAUAAGUUCUCCGCCUGGGGAGUAUGCACGCAAGUGUGAAACUCAAAGGAAUUGACGGGGGCCCGCACAAGCGGUGGAGUAUGUGGUUUAAUUCGAAGCAACGCGAAGAACCUUACCAGGCCUUGACAUCCCUUGCAGAGGUAUAGAGAUAUAUCCGAGGUUAUCAAGGAGACAGGUGGUGCAUGGUUGUCGUCAGCUCGUGUCGUGAGAUGUUGGGUU